UGGGGUCCGGGGGAACUGUGCUGGUGACAGCAGGGACGGCCUCGCCUUUCAGCGGGCUUACAUUCAGAGCGCGUCUUUAUAGGCUCAUUUAAAUAUCACAAACAAUACCUCAGAGGUGGAAGUAAAGAUGCGUGGGCGGCUCAAAUCUGAAGCAUUUUCAUCUCCUCUGACUCAGAUGUAACCUUCUCGGAUGGCUGAGAUGAGGGGGAGGGCAUCAAGGAGCUCCUGAAGUCGGGAAGGUAGCAUCCCAGCUGGCGGCUGGAGCCGCGGGGGCGACUCCGAACACAUUCAGCUGGGUCCUGGCUGCCUGUCCUCCCCGGGUCUCCUCUGCCUCCCAUUGUGAGAAGAGCCGGAUUCACCCUCAGAAGCUCCACUCAGCGUCCCCCGGGCGGCAGCUGGUGCCAGCGGCCAAGGAAGCAGUGUCUUGGGUUCUCCUACUCGUCUUUCAGGACCCACGGAGCCGGGAGCAGCUGCACAGCACCUAGCUCCUCAGUCCCCAACACAAUGCCCACAACUGCCCCUCGUCCUCAGAGAUGGGCAGCCCUGCUGACCCCUCGGGACGGCCCGUGUGGCCUCGGGCCAGCACAACAGCAUUGCUGUUCCCUCACAUGUCGCUGAUGAGCAUCCAUCACAGGCCACUGCUGGGUGACGCGGCUCUGAGGACUGAGCCACAGCCACACCCCACAGUCCACCCUCUGCCUUUGAAUCCAGUCUGGCUCUUAAAGUGAGACAACGGCCUUGUUGUGGGUUGAAUGUACACAGACACACACACACACACACACACACACACACACACACACACCACACACACACACACACACACAGAUAUGUCCCUGUCCUAACCUCAGAUACCUGUGGCUGUGACCUUAUUUGGAAGUAGCAUCAUUGCAGCUGUGAUGAGUUAGGAUGAGCCCAGGACUGCCAGUAACACCGGGAGCUGACAGACAUGAAGCAGACGUCCCCUGGAUCUCCUGGGGAGCGCGUCCCUGCCAACACUGAUUUAGGACUGCUGGCCUUCAGAUCUAAGAGGGAAUACAUUUCCGUUGUUUUACGCCACCCAGCCUGUGGUCUUUUGUGAUGGCAGCCCAAGGACAGUGACACACCAUCGUGUGUGCCCAGUCCUGGCACCACCCCAGCCCUGGCCCCUCUCCUCCCUCCCGCCCUGAGGGGCGGGCAUCUGAGGGGCAGGGAGUGACUGUGCGCUGUGCAGCGGUCCAGGUGGUCACCAGGAGGUGGCAGGCAGCCCGGGGACACUGGGGAGAGCGGCCUCCCCAACCCAGCCCCCCGAGAGCCCUACCCCGGCCAGACCAUAGCAUUCCCUGGACUUAAAGAAGCUGGGGGAACAUCACUUGCCUCCCCUGUCUGUGAUGAGCUGCUGGCCUUUUUUGCCAACUCUGCGAUCCCAGCUGAAGUCACGGAUGUUGACACUGUCCCUUGGGGCCUGGAGUAUAAAUGCAUCUCAGAGAGAUCUGAGGAGACACCCGGAGGGGCUGGUUCUCAGAAAAGACAGGCCCCGCUGCAGAGCCAUGGAGGUGAGGGAGGACGCCAGCUGUCCCCGGUGACGGUGGGAGCCGGUUCAGGCCGACGAUCCCCUGCAGCUCGGGUGCUGGCAGCCCACGGGGAUACCCAGCUGGGACUGCCAGGUUAGGACUUUGAAUUUCUUUUCUUGUGAAGGGAGGUGGGGACUGUGCUUUGCAUCUCCUGCCCCCGUGGCAGCAAAAAAAAUAAAAAAUGAGAGGGCUCUCUGGGAGGGAAGAGAGUCAGGAAAUCGCCAGGAGGAGCCAGGCCUCCCCAGGAGCUCAACAGCGAGACAAUGACAACGGAUGUGCGUCCGAUGUGCUGCUGCCGCCUGUGUGCGUCAUUAAAGCAGGCAGACGAGCGAGCGAGGAGCGAGCGAGGAGAGCAAGCUGGUCCGCGCUGGGGUGGGAGGGAGGCUGCGGCGGAGAUGUUCUCUGCCUCCUCCUGGGAGAGGCGCCACCACCAGGCUCAGGGAACAGGACACGGAUGUUCUCGGGCAGGAGGAAAGGGUGGGAGGGUUCCUGGGUUGGAGACCCCCCAGGACACCUUCGGGAGCCUCCUGCCGGGGCAGGCCCUUCCCAGCCAGGCCCCCCACCUCAUCGCAUGUCCGCAGCAAGCUCAUGAGAAUGUGGGUCCUGUCCACCGAUCCGAGCGGGGCACCCUUCAGCCAAAAAGGCCGGGUCCUCUGUGCACCUUCCAGGCCACAGAGGAUCUGCCCUCCACCCACCAGCCCUCUCCCAGACCCUCCCCGCCCACCCCUACGGCCACUCACCCAACCCAUGCCCAGCUAGGCACCUACCCUGCCCUGCUCUCCGCUCAGAGGGUGUCCCAGAUACCAAUUCACUCUGUCUCUCUUAAAUGCCCCUCCCAGGACAGCCCUGACACCAGAGCAAA